rnacentral:rRNA from 1 species
AUUGAACGCUGGCGGCAGGCCUAACACAUGCAAGUCGAACGAGUGGCGGACGGGUGUGUAAUGUCUGGGAACCUGCCCGAUGGAGGGGGCUAACUACUGGAAACGGUAGCUAAUACCGCAUACCAUCGGAUGUGCCCAGAUGGGAUUGGCUAGUGGGGGGGGUAACGGCUCACCUAGGCGACGAUCCCUCGCGGGUCUGAGAGGAUGACCAGCAACACUGGAACGGGGACGCGGUCCAGACUCCUACGGGAGGCAGCGGUGGGGAAUAUUGCGCAAGGGGCGCAAGCCUGAUGCAGCCAUGCCGCGUGUAUGAAGAAGGCCUUCGGGUUGUAAAGGACUUUCAGCGAGGAGGCGUUACUCGCAGAAGAAGCACCGGCUAACUCCGUGCCAGCAGCCGCGGUAAUUC